UGGCAUAAUAAAUGCACAUGCCAAAUAGCUAAAUGUUCGAAUAAUUUGCAUUUACAGUAAGCAGUAAUGACUUUUCUAUCUGAGUUUGGAAAGCACCAUGUGGAGCCAGUCUGCUGCAUGUUCAUGCUGUCAGCUGGAAAUGUUGAUUAGGUGUUUUGUGGAAUUACUGCGUGAAAUUGGGUAAAUAAUAAGGUUUUAAAUUGUAUCCUGCAUCAAUUAACAUUAUUUUGUGUUUGUAGUUAUUUCUCUGAAAUGUGUUAUUUUACAAUGGCACCACACAAAAAUUAUUUUAAAAACUAGCAUCCUAAUUAUUUGAAAUGUGUGCUGUAAACGUCGACUAAAAGCAAUUGUGCAUUAGAAAAUUCACUUCAUCCUUUAAUUAGUAAAAUUUAAUCCAACAUUAAUUAAACUUUCAAUGUGCUGUGAUGAAAUUAACAUUUUAUUAGAAUGAAGGUAUAAAAAUAACUACAAAAAUAAAAUGGAAGCAACUGGAACGUUUCAUUAUGAACUCGACAGUGUUCUGCAAUACUUUUACUUUAUUUUAAAUUUUUUAUUCUGUGCAUUAACUUACAAAAUUGAAAGUAUACAAAGCAUCAAACACAUUUUAAGUGUGAAGUUGGUGUUUUCAUAGUGACUAAGCAGAAGUUUACAGUCGGUGUGGAAGCCAACACUAAACUCAUGCACCACUGCUGCCGAGUGAAAAAUGUGCCCUUUUAUCAGCAAACACGAACAAAUUAGACCGACAAAAGCCCAAAGUGUAACUAAUGGUGAAAUACAGUCAGGAUUUAGUUCAAAACAUCCCAUAAUCAGGGACACGUUAGCUAUACAAACAUUGAGAUUAUAGUGCUCGAGUUUUCUUUUUACUGUGCAGAAGCUGGUUGGCCAAACCGCCCCCAUGCGACAUGAAUCAACACACUAACUCAUACACCUAAAACUGUGCGUAAAAUAGUUGUUUUCAAGUGCACUUCCAAAAAUGACAGCAAAUGUGUGUGUAAGUGGUCACUUGUCAGUCGCUUGUGAGUCGCUUUGGACAUAAGCGUCUGCUAAAUACAUAAACAUAAACAUAAGUUGGACUACAGACAAACUCACCAAGGGUUCAAUUAUUUUACAGGGCAUGCGACCCAGACUCUAUCUGCAGGUUGUGUGAAGCACUGACAUUAUAUUAGUACUGGUUAGACUGGUCUUCAAACCAUAAACAAAACACAAGACCAUCUGAGUCCAAGAGUCUGAGAAGCAAAGGAAAUAAUCUUACUGAAAAAACAUAUUUUAG
rnacentral:lncRNA from 1 species